rnacentral:rRNA from 1 species
UUGUAUAAUGGGUCAGCGACUUAUAUUCUGUAGCAAGGUUAACCGUAUAGGGGAGCCGAAGGGAAACCGAGUCUUAACCGGGCGUUAAGUUGCAGGGUAUAGACCCGAAACCCGGUGAUCUAGCCAUGGGCAGGUUGAAGGUUGGGUAACACUAACUGGAGGACCGAACCGACUAAUGUUGAAAAAUUAGCGGAUGACCUGUGGCUGGGGGUGAAAGGCCAAUCAAACCGGGAGAUAGCUGGUUCUCCCCGAAAGCUAUUUAGGUAGCGCCUCGUGAAUUCAUCUCCGGGGGUAGAGCACUGUUUCGGCUAGGGGGCCAUCCCGGCUUACCAACCCGAUGCAAACUGCGAAUACCGGAGAAUGUUAUCACGGGAGACACACGGCGGGUGCUAACGUCCGUCGUGAAGAGGGAAACAACCCAGACCGCCAGCUAAGGUCCCAAAGUCAUGGUUAAGUGGGAAACGAUGUGGGAAGGCCCAGACAGCCAGGAUGUUGGCUUAGAAGCAGCCAUCAUUUAAAGAAAGCGUAAUAGCUCACUGGUCGAGUCGGCCUGCGCGGAAGAUGUAACGGGGCUAAACCAUGCACCGAAGCUGCGGCAGCGACACUAUGUGUUGUUGGGUAGGGGAGCGUUCUGUAAGCCUGCGAAGGUGGCCUGUGAGGGUUGCUGGAGGUAUCAGAAGUGCGAAUGCUGACAUAAGUAACGAUAAAGCGGGUGAAAAGCCCGCUCGCCGGAAGACCAAGGGUUCCUGUCCAACGUUAAUCGGGGCAGGGUGAGUCGACCCCUAAGGCGAGGCCGAAAGGCGUAGUCGAUGGGAAACGGGUUAAUAUUCCCGUACUUGGUGUUACUGCGAAGGGGGGACGGAGAAGGCUAUGUUGGCCGGGCGACGGUUGUCCCGGUUUAAGCGUGUAGGUGUGUGUUCCAGGUAAAUCCGGUUCACUUUAACACUGAGGCGUGACGACGAGGCACUACGGUGCUGAAGCAACAAAUGCCCUGCUUCCAGGAAAAGCCUCUAAGCAUCAGGUAACAUCAAAUCGUACCCCAAACCGACACAGGUGGUCAGGUAGAGAAUACCAAGGCGCUUGAGAGAACUCGGGUGAAGGAACUAGGCAAAAUGGUGCCGUAACUUCGGGAGAAGGCACGCUGACACGUAGGUGAAGUGAUUUACUCACGGAGCUGAAGUCAGUCGAAGAUACCAGCUGGCUGCAACUGUUUAUUAAAAACACAGCACUGUGCAAACACGAAAGUGGACGUAUACGGUGUGACGCCUGCCCGGUGCCGGAAGGUUAAUUGAUGGGGUCAGCGCAAGCGAAGCUCCUGAUCGAAGCCCCGGUAAACGGCGGCCGUAACUAUAACGGUCCUAAGGUAGCGAAAUUCCUUGUCGGGUAAGUUCCGACCUGCACGAAUGGCGUAAUGAUGGCCAGGCUGUCUCCACCCGAGACUCAGUGAAAUUGAACUCGCUGUGAAGAUGCAGUGUACCCGCGGCAAGACGGAAAGACCCCGUGAACCUUUACUAUAGCUUGACACUGAACAUUGAGCCUUGAUGUGUAGGAUAGGUGGGAGGCUUUGAAGCGUGGACGCCAGUCUGCGUGGAGCCGACCUUGAAAUACCACCCUUUAAUGUUUGAUGUUCUAACGUGGACCCGUGAUCCGGGUUGCGGACAGUGUCUGGUGGGUAGUUUGACUGGGGCGGUCUCCUCCUAAAGAGUAACGGAGGAGCACGAAGGUUGGCUAAUCCUGGUCGGACAUCAGGAGGUUAGUGCAAUGGCAUAAGCCAGCUUGACUGCGAGCGUGACGGCGCGAGCAGGUGCGAAAGCAGGUCAUAGUGAUCCGGUGGUUCUGAAUGGAAGGGCCAUCGCUCAACGGAUAAAAGGUACUCCGGGGAUAACAGGCUGAUACCGCCCAAGAGUUCAUAUCGACGGCGGUGUUUGGCACCUCGAUGUCGGCUCAUCACAUCCUGGGGCUGAAGUAGGUCCCAAGGGUAUGGCUGUUCGCCAUUUAAAGUGGUACGCGAGCUGGGUUUAGAACGUCGUGAGACAGUUCGGUCCCUAUCUGCCGUGGGCGCUGGAGAACUGAGGGGGGCUGCUCCUAGUACGAGAGGACCGGAGUGGACGCAUCACUGGUGUUCGGGUUGUCAUGCCAAUGGCACUGCCCGGUAGCUAAAUGCGGAAGAGAUAAGUGCUGAAAGCAUCUAAGCACGAAACUUGCCCCGAGAUGAGUUCUCCCUGAGACUUUAGGUCUCCUGAAGGAACGUUGAAGACGACGACGUUGAUAGGCCGGGUGUGUAAGCGCAGCGAUGCGUUGAGCUAACCGGUACUAAUGAACCGUGAGGCUUAACCUUACAACGCCGAAG